CCUGGCAACAUCUUAGCUAGCUCUUUCCAACGCUCACAUGAUCGCCCACUGAAGCUAAUCAGGGCUGCGCUGGGUCAGUACCUGGAUGGGAGACUACAUGGAAAAGCUAGGUUGCUGCCAGAA
rnacentral:rRNA from 1 species